AUUGAACGCUGGCGGCAUGCCUUACACAUGCAAGUCGAACGGUAACAGGUUAAGCUGACGAGUGGCGAACGGGUGAGUAAUGUAUCGGAACGUGCCUAGUCGUGGGGGAUAACGUAGCGAAAGCUACGCUAAUACCGCAUACGAUCUCUGGAUGAAAGCGGGGGACCUUCGGGCCUCGCGCGAUUAGAGCGGCCGAUAUCAGAUUGGGUAGUUGGUGGGGUAAAGGCCCACCAAGCCGACGAUCUGUAGCUGGUCUGAGAGGACGACCAGCCACACUGGGACUGAGACACGGCCCAGACUCCUACGGGAGGCAGCAGUGGGGAAUUUUGGACAAUGGGCGCAAGCCUGAUCCAGCAAUGCCGCGUGCAGGAUGAAGGCCUUCGGGUUGUAAACUGCUUUUGUACGGAGCGAAAAGGCUCUCUCUAAUACAGGGGGCUCAUGACGGUACCGUAAGAAUAAGCACCGGCUAACUACGUG
rnacentral:rRNA from 1 species